CAUGGCCCUGGAGACCGAACCCUCACUCAAGGAUUAAAGGGAGAUCCCACCUACCUUGUUGUGGAGAAAGACAGAACUCUUGCAACAUAUGGAAUUAAUGCAGUCUGCACACAUCUUGGGUGUGUUGUGCCCUGGAAUACUGCUGAGAAUAAGUUCAUCUGCCCAUGCCAUGGGUCCCAGUACAAUGACCAAGGAAGCGUUGUGAGAGGGCCUGCCCCUCUGUCUCUAGCUCUGGCUCAUGCUGAUAUAGAUG
rnacentral:misc_RNA from 1 species